GGCAGGCACAAAGCACCCUGUUCUCGGGCAGAAAGAAGGGGAGCUCCCAGCGUCGCAGCUGGUGACAAGCAGCUCCAAAUGGCACCUUCCUUGCCAAUGGAAAGGUACAGAGGUGGAGCAGGCAGCGGGAUGGCCUCUGAGCAAUUCCCCGGUCUAUACUCCACCCUGACAGGAGCUCCUGGUUUUGGAGGCACGAACAUCCUUACCAAGCUGUGUCCAGGCUGUGAUGCUAACAUUAGACAACAGAGAGGUGACUCAGUCCUUUCAGUACAUGUUUCCGUGUUCCCAGCUGCUGUAGGAAAUAAACAAUUCCUUCAGGUAGCUCAGCAGACUCGUGGCCACAAAAGUGGCCUGGAGAGGAAAGCCCAGCAGCCAGCUCCCAUGCCAGCAUGCCAAGCAUCUUCUUGACAUCUACAUCCUCCUCCAAUGCUGAGGUAUGCUUUCUCAGCAGCUCAGCACCAUGAAUGUUUUGGUAUGUG
ensembl:lncRNA